GAUGAACGCUGGCGGCGUGCCUAAUACAUGCAAGUCGAGCGAACGGACGAGAAGCUUGCUUCUCUGAUGUUAGCGGCGGACGGGUGAGUAACACGUGGAUAACCUACCUAUAAGACUGGGAUAACUUCGGGAAACCGGAGCUAAUACCGGAUAAUAUUUUGAACCGCAGGGUUCAAAAGUGAAAGACGGUCUUGCUGUCACUUAUAGAUGGAUCCGCGCUGCAUUAGCUAGUUGGUAAGGUAACGGCUUACCAAGGCAACGAUGCAUAGCCGACCUGAGAGGGUGAUCGGCCACACUGGAACUGAGACACGGUCCAGACUCCUACGGGAGGCAGCAGUAGGGAAUCUUGCGCAAUGGGCGAAAGCCUGACGGAGCAACGCCGCGUGAGUGAUGAAGGUCUUCGGAUCGUAAAACUCUGUUAUUAGGGAAGAACAUAUGUGUAAGUAACUGUGCACAUCUUGACGGUACCUAAUCAGAAAGCCACGGCUAACUACGUG
rnacentral:rRNA from 1 species